ACUGGCACAAGUGUCUUCCUAGAAGAACAAAGUCAUCAUUAAAUCAGUGCAGAUGAGAGAUGAGGAGCCCGGGUGAUGCAGAGUCCCCAGGAUGCACCAGACCUGCAGAAGACCUGUUUUCAUGGAAACGUUGUCUACUAAGCAGUAGCAGACUGCUUCAUCUUAGACUUGAUCAUCACAGAGCGAAGAGGAAAACCUACAGCACUGAGAAACCUCCUUGCCUGCAACAGCCCACGUUCCUUUCUCAUGCUCAAAUGCCACUUUGUUCAUCAGUCAAAGGAAACUUUCUUGUGACCCUGUUGUAUGUUGCCCAGCAAAUCUGGAGGGCAGAAUGGAAUAUGAAGCAAAGAAAACAUGACAGCAGGAAAUGGAGGAGGAAAAGAUCUACCCGCCUUGAAAUGGGCUGAUGGACAAGUCUGAGAGUGACUUUUCAAAGGGCCACAUGAGAUGACAGCUUGCAUUGGGGCUGCUUUUCAAACACUGCAAGAGAAGGUUCCAAAACUGUCAGAGGACCAAGUAGUUGAAUCAUUUGGAGAGGCAGAUGCUUUUUUGGAUACUUGUCAGCUCUUGAAAGGCUUCUUAUGGUUCUCUGCAGCCCAGCUUUCUUUCAAAGCCUUGCAUGGAAAAGUUAUAACGGAAGGCAACAUUUCAGAUCAGUGAAUUUCUGCUGCUCAUGUGCAUAUAUAACUUUGUCUGAGAGAUUGACUUGAUUUCAGGACAUGGUUUUAAUGUGGUGCAUGAAGUAGCUGGAGCUGGCUUGGUUUGCAAGUGGAGACACCAGGAAUGGGUUGUAGUGGGAUGCUCUCGGCGUUGAUCCAGGGAGGACUUUCUGGUCCGAUGAGCCUGGACAUUGAAGUCCUCUGACAGAGAGCCAGAGAUACUUCAGGAGAAGAGAGGGCUUAUCUGGAGAAGAGGAGGCUCAGGGGAGACCUUUUAUCUCUCUACACUACAGCUACCUGAAAGAAGGUUGUGGUGAGGUGAGGGCCAGCCUCUUCUCCCAUGGAACUAGCGAUAGGAUGAGGGGAAAUGGCCUCCAGUUGCACCAGGGGAGGUUCAGUUUGGGAGUUAGGAAACAUUUCUUCUCCAAAAGAGUGGUCAGGCACUGGAAUGGGCUGCCCAAGGAGGUGGUUGAGUCACCGUCCCUGAAGGUGUUCAAGAAACAUCUAGAUGUUGUACUGAGAGACAUGGUUUAGUGGGGAAAUAAUGGCGGUAUGUUGAACUCGAUGGUCUUGGAGGUCUUUUCCAACCUUGGUGAUUCUAUGAUUCAACUUUGCUCUGAGGUGCUCUGUCAGCAGAGCCUUCCUGCCUGUCCUCCAAUGAGUUUGGAGAGAGAGAAGUAUUUACACACUUCUGGAGAAGAAAACUGGAGAGAGAAGUCCGAUGGGGAUAGUGAGGUGGAGACAGACCGAAGAAGUUUUGAGCACAGUCAGGUUUGGCUUUAGAAGGCAAAAGACCCCAGUUCAACAUUCUCCAUUCUGCAUCCAAAGAGGAAAGGAAAACCAUCUUCAUGUGCAGGAGAACAUGAACGCCACAUCACUGGAUUGGAAUAAAUACCAACAUAAACUCUGUGGUGAUCUCAAACCUCACAUGGUCCCUUUUCUCUCUUAUUCCACCAACUCACCAUAAAUGCUGUGUUUUACUAAGGUCGUAGCUUCACCUGGGGAGGAAGUAUCUAGGGUUUGAAACCCACUAAGAGAUGUAGAGGAUCAGUGUUGGUGAGUUUAUCCCUGUCUGCAGAGAGGAUGAAAUGUCUAAACUGAGACAGGUAAGAACUGGAAUCUGAUGGAAGACAGGGAAGAGAGGAGAACAAGAAAACUGGAAAAAGGAGAGAACUUCUAACCUACAAUCACACUGUCCGUGCUGGUUGAAAUCCAGGUAUAAACACACCCGUUUCCUUAUGUUUUACUUUUCAGAACAUGUCUUGAAGACAGAAACAGGGGUUAGAAGAGCAGAUUUUACUCCUGUGAUUAAGAUUUGCACCAUUUGACUUUGGGUUGUAAAGAAAAAGAAGAAAAAAUAAAACAAGGGAAAAAAAAAAGAGUAAUGCUUUACUAAUUAAGGCACAAUUGAAAGUGAUUGGUGUGCACUGGCAAGCUGCUCCUCUCAGAAAGAGCUGGACUGACAUCUCUACAAUCACUCAGUGAGUAAGCACUGCGAAAACACUGUUUGGCCUGGAAGGAGCUAAUAAGUGCAUAGAUAAAAUCUUAUUUUGAAAGCAACAACAAAGGGCAUGUGAUUUAUAUCUUAGUUGGUGACUUCAUAUGUUUUGCAGAGUUUCUCCAAAAUAUAUCGGAAUUCAUAAUUCAUUUUUAUAACGCAUUACAUUAAAAUAAUAAAUGUCAGGAAGUUUUUCAAGAGACUGAAAAUUCUGUAAGCAGUGCUGAGUGAUCAAAGGAGGAUUUUGACAGGGAGAGACUCCCGUUGACUUGGGGCUUUGGAUCAGACCUGACGCUGGCAACAAAAUGGACAACAGUUAAUAAAAGUGUGCCUGUUAGAACUUGGAUAAGUUAGAGCAGCUAAUUGCAGCAUCUCAACACAAGUUGGGGGAAGAUGCAUGCUGGCUGGAUCCUCACCGCUGCAUGUGAUGGGAUGCUGUUGCUCGUCUACAUGGCAGCAACCAUGGAUGAGCCAAGACAAAGGAAGUGAUAGAGGAGGUGGAGGAGAGAGCAGGGAUUAGAGGGCUGGAGGAAAAACAACUUUCAGGGGGAGAAACCAUUCCAAAACCUACAUUUAUGCAAGGAAAAAGACUGCUGAGUUAAAAGUAGUAUAUCAUUUCUGGACUUUUUCAUUUCCUACAUGUUGGAGGAGUUAUCUCUGUGUGUUUCCAUUCUUUUUCUUAAUGGAGGCAUAUAUGACGUGUUUCUCACUCAUUGUAGUAUUUCAUGUUUUCAUGAGUGUUAACAAAAGCAUGGGACAAAGCCAAAGAGGUAACUACCCACCAUACCCUAGUGCAGCUGUUUCACGUUUAUAAAACUCAUGUAUCACCAUGCAGAAUUGGUCAGUGUUUUGCCUGUCUGUACCUGCAGGGAUGUAUUUUGCUGCAAAAUGCCAUUCAGGUUUGUGGACCACAAAAUGGAGAUGGAGAUCCCACAACUUCAGUUGUAGAGCAACCAGAACUCAUUCUCUCCUCACACAUCUAGAGCUCCACUCCCAGCCAUCCUAGUGGCCUUGCUGGGCUUUUUUCUAACCAUGCUGGUGGCCUUGCUGGGUGUUUUCCUAGCUCCUGGUACUAGGGAGCUCAAGUCCAGUGCCCAGAUGUGAUCUCAGGGUCUGAGUAGAGGGGAAGAAUUAUAUCCCCUAGCUUGCUAGCUGCCCCUUUGCAAAUUCACCUCUGGAUGUGAUCAUCCUGUGCUGCAAGUGUGGAGACAUAGUAGUGAGGACCUCAUAGUCUACCAAGAUGCCCCUGGUCUAUCCAGAUGGUCCCAGCUUGUGCUGCCACAUGGGUUAUUCCUCCUCAUAUACUGAACUCUACAUUUCUCUGCGGUGAACUUCUUGAGAUUCCUGCUAAUCCUUCUCUCCACCUCAUUUCUUCGAAUAGCAUUGCUCCUCUGCACUGCAUCAAUCACUCCUUGUUUGUGUGUCCUCUGCAGACUUGCUGAGAGGGCAGCCUGUUCACUGCCUAAGGGCUGCUUGAGCUGCCAGGUAGCUCCACAAUGACAUCCUUUGGAAAUGUGCACCACCUCCGACUUGAUCAGCUGGGCUGUACAACCUUAAUGGUAUAGAAGAUGCAGUUUCCAUGCAGUUUCAAGUCGUCAUCCAACUUUUAGAUGCAAGAUCUAAAGGCCCAUGUGGUACUUUAAUAUCUUGAUGAUUUACAGCUGGGAUUGAGACUUUGUCCAAACUUUCACUCCAUUUGUAUAAACCUUUCAUGCUGAUUGAGAACUCUGCAAAUGAAGUCUCUGACUUUUAUUUACACUUUAUGAAAAUUGAGUUGUUCUCAAGUGACCCUACAUCUCACCUCAGAGUGGUGAAAAUUCACAGCCACGGAGCGUGGAUUCAUGCAGACUGAGGGCUCAGUUUGUAGAUCUGAAUCUACAGAUAUUCAAAGAGAUUUUUCCCAGGGGAAAACAGUCAAAUGUGGAUGAUAAAAGUGAGUGAGUAAUGUACUGAGAGCAUAUCUUCUUACUGCAUUUGCUCGGAGUGUCUGUUUAUGAUGAAUGUAAAGCAGACCCAACAGCAGAGUUCAGUUAGGGGUGUGCGUUUAUGUGCUGGGAUUUUAUGUCUAACAUGGCCUGUUAGGCUUUUUGAAAAGGAAAAACAUAAAACCUUGCCUGUUUUCUUAAAAAAAUGCAUUACUGUACUGCUCUUCGUGUUUUAAAGUACUGAU
rnacentral:lncRNA from 1 species